AGAACGAACGCUGGCGGCAGGCUUAACACAUGCAAGUCGAGCGCCCCGCAAGGGGAGCGGCAGACGGGUGAGUAACGCGUGGGAAUCUACCCAACUCUACGGAAUAACUCAGGGAAACUUGUGCUAAUACCGUAUACGCCCUUCGGGGGAAAGAUUUAUCGGAGUUGGAUGAGCCCGCGUUGGAUUAGCUAGUUGGUGGGGUAAAGGCCUACCAAGGCGACGAUCCAUAGCUGGUCUGAGAGGAUGAUCAGCCACAUUGGGACUGAGACACGGCCCAAACUCCUACGGGAGGCAGCAGUGGGGAAUAUUGGACAAUGGGCGCAAGCCUGAUCCAGCCAUGCCGCGUGUGUGAUGAAGGCCUUAGGGUUGUAAAGGCACUUUCGACCGGAGAAGAUAAUGACGGUAUCCGGAGAAGAAGCCCGGCUAACUUCGUGCCAGCAGCCGC
rnacentral:rRNA from 1 species